rnacentral:pre_miRNA from 1 species
UGGACAAAUUAUUGUAUUCGACUGUAUUUACGGCGUGAAAUAGGGGAUUAUACUAUUUUUAAAACGGAAAGUGAAUCAAUUAACAUGAUAGACUCCU